GGUCAAGCAGAACAAAACAUCUGGGGUAUAAUUACUGGAAAAGAGAAAUGUUUCUUCCUUAAUGUAUUUCUGCAACCAGAAGAAAGUGGUGUCCCACAAAUCUUUGGAACAUCUAAGAGAAUCACAAUCACAGGUUCACAAGCAUAUGUAAAAUAUUUCUGUUUGGACAUGAGCCAAGUGCAGAGCACCCUGCCUUGCAUUGCAAACAGUUCCAAAGAGCCUGGGGAAUCCAGAAACCCUGGCCACACGUUUAUGGGCCUGGCUUCUCCCAUCUUUGCACAGAUUCAUGAUUCUUUAAAGAAUGAACACUCCUUACUGACUUUUGGAUUCUGAACCAGGGACCUUCUCGGACUCCCUCCCAGAGGGACAGCUGACUUCUCUCCAAUCUAAGGAGAGUUGAGAGAUGUCAGGCCUUGAUCAAGCUGAUAGUCCCUUGAUAUCUCAACACCUCCCCCACCUCUGCUGUGACGGGUAAGAGCCGAGCUUGCCGGUACUGGUACAGUAUGAAGAGAGGAAGGAGUCUUUGUGACAGAGAAGGAAAGGGGGACAGGUGGUCAGAUGGAAUGAGAAGGCCCCCAGCCAGCUCUUUGAGAGAAGGUAAUGCAUUUGAUGUACUCUAAUGGUACCCCUGGCUGAGGGGCCAUAUGGAGCCCUGGAUACUGCAUAAUUCCAUCUUACUCCCCAGUUGAGACCCCCUUUUCCUGCCGAAAUCACAUUGUCCAUUGGGUCACGCAGUUGCCACUGGUAUUUCCUACUGCUCUCACUCAGAAGGGAAAGGUUAAAAAUACAAGGUGUACCCUGACAUCUGAUCCUAGAGCAUCUUUUAUAAUCAGAGUUUGGCCAAACUUUAGCAUUGCAGAGCCUUCUGGGAAUGUAUUAUUUCAAAUACCUGCAUUUAGAGACAGUUAAAGUUAAGUCUUUAAGCUGUGGGACGGAAACUGGUAGGACAAACAGCCAAAUUGGGCUGUGUAUGUACCUGGAGACUUUGGCUGGCUCAUACCACUCCCUAUGAUGGCAAGCCCUCCUGAUUGACACAGCUAAGUCCUAUGCCUGGUCCACAAAGGCAUUUGGGUUCAUAAGCUCUGCUUAGGCGUUGACAUUUUUAGGCGGC
rnacentral:lncRNA from 1 species